CCUACGGGAGGCAGCAGUGGGGAAUUUUGGACAAUGGGCGAAAGCCUGAUCCAGCCAUGCCGCGUGCAGGAUGAAGGCCUUCGGGUUGUAAACUGCUUUUGUACGGAACGAAAAGACUCUGGUUAAUACCUGGGGUCCAUGACGGUACCGUAAGAAUAAGCACCGGCUAACUACGUGCCAGCAGCCGCGGUAAUACGUAGGGUGCGAGCGUUAAUCGGAAUUACUGGGCGUAAAGCGUGCGCAGGCGGUUAUAUAAGACAGAUGUGAAAUCCCCGGGCUCAACCUGGGAACUGCAUUUGUGACUGUAUAGCUAGAGUACGGCAGAGGGGGAUGGAAUUCCGCGUGUAGCAGUGAAAUGCGUAGAUAUGCGGAGGAACACCGAUGGCGAAGGCAAUCCCCUGGGCCUGUACUGACGCUCAUGCACGAAAGCGUGGGGAGCAAACAGGAUUAGAUACCCUGGUAGUCCACGCCCUAAACGAUGUCAAACUGGUUNUUGGGUCUUCACUGACUCAGUAACGAAGCUAACGCGNGAGUGACGCGNGGAGACGCGCGAGUAGACGACAAGAAGUAGAGNGNGAGAGNGCGAGACGACGACGAGGGAGGAGG
rnacentral:rRNA from 1 species